GAGGGACACCGACGAAGGCGGACUAACCGCGUACAUGCCACCGGGGCAUCCCGGAGGCAGGAAAGGCUUCGGCCGGACAGGGAUGGGCAUGCGGCGCAUUAGGCAGUAGGCGGGGUAACGGCCCACCUAACCGACGAUGCGUAGGGGUUCUGAGAGGAAGGUCCCCCACACUGGUACUGAGACACGGACCAGACUCCUACGGAAGGCAGCAG
rnacentral:rRNA from 1 species